rnacentral:rRNA from 1 species
GACGAACGCUGGCGGCGUGCUUAACACAUGCAAGUCGAACGGAAAGGCCCUGCUUGCCGGGUACUCGAGUGGCGAACGGGUGAGUAACACGUGGGUGAUCUGCCCUGCACUUCGGGAUAAGCCUGGGAAACUGGGUCUAAUACCGGAUAGGAGCCAUUUUUAGUGUGAUGGUUGGAAAGUUUUUUCGGUGUAGGAUGAGCUCGCGGCCUAUCAGCUUGUUGGUGGGUAAUGGCCUACCAAGGCGGCGACGGGUAGCCGGCCUGAGAGGGUGGACGGCCACAUUGGGACUGAGAUACGGCCCAGACUCCUACGGGGGGCAGCAGGGGGGAAUAUUGCCCAAUGGGCGAAAGCCUGAUGCGGGGGCGCCGGGGGGGGGAUGACGGCCUUCGGGUUGUAAACCCCUUUCGCUGGGGACGAAGCUUUUUGGGACGGUACUAAGAUAAAAAGCCCGGGUAACCUAGGG